GGUUCCAUGUACAACCUUUCCAUAGAGGGUUCUACCUGGAACCAAAAAGGGUUCUAUGAGGACAGCUGAAUAACUGUUUUGGAACCCAUUUUUCUAAGAGUGUAGGGUUAUGGCAUGGUCAGACAGGUGACUAAGCUCACCACAUUUAUACAAACCAUGGUCACCUAACCCUGAGACCUUCCAGUAGGCCAUGGAUACGCCUAUUGUCUGGGGAAGGUCCAGAUGUAAACAGAAGCUGACCCCCUCCUCCAUUACUACACUAAAAUCACUGGUUGGAAAUUCUUCUCCAGAGUGAGGGAGUCUGGUAGCGCCAUUGGCCCCCAGCCCCCAGCUAUAGCCAACACAGCAGGGCCUCACUAAGGUACACCAUUUACCCCUGAGACCAACCCUGCCACAGUGGCAUCUAGACCAGGGGUUAAACAAACAGCACAA